UGGCGGGGAUUGGGAUCCUAGAAUUUUCCACGUCUUCCUCCUCUCAAUCUGCACCGUUUAUUGUUUAAACCCGUCAACUCAUCAAUCUUUCAAAUGCAAAUGAUAGUAACAGUUGAAGAAGAUAACUACUCCUGGUGGAGGAUGGCCAGAACACGAAGCAAAAAGAGGAGAAAGAAGAAAUCCAACAGAACACAGCAGUUGGUUUCGUCUCAUCACUUCGCUGUAAAGUGAUCAUCCCGCGUUGACCCAGCAUUUCAAUCCCUUCCACAACGUGACUCGAGCGGUUCAGCUCCACUUUCAUGCUCCUCAUCUAUCAAUGGUUAUGUCUCUGUCACUCUCUGUCUCUCUCCCAUAUCCCUGCGAUUCCUAUUGAUUGCUUCCGUGGGUUUGCCUGUUUUUCUGUGGACGUGAAAUUUGGUUAAGUCUCAACGAGAUUUGGUUCCAUUCCCAUUACGGUAUUUUCUGCUUUCUUCUUCAUCUUCCGCUUUGUCUUAAACCUUGAACUUUCUCAUGUUCACACUUCUGCUUCUGUAAAAGAUUUCUGCACUGCUAUUCUUCCAUUUUAUAUAUGCUUUCCGAUCAUAAAGUUGCGGAAUUGCUUUAACAACUUGACUUUUGCGGGCGAAAUGGCAAUAUGUCCGGCUUGCAACCUCAAAAAACGGUUUUGCUUGAUGCUAAUAUUUUGUUUUGGCAUCUUCCUUGUAAGUUCGAUUAAUGAAGAUGGUUCAAAUCUUUUGCGGUUCAAAGCUUCUCUUGCUGACACCCAAAAUUAUCUUCACAACUGGAAUUCUUCUGAUUUUACUCCUUGCAAUUGGAAAGGUGUGCAUUGUGAUGAUUCAAUGGUAACUUCCGUAAAUCUUCAUCAGCUCAAUCUGUCUGGUGCUUUAUCUCCCACCAUCUGUAACCUUCCACGGCUAGUUGAGUUGAAUCUGUCGAAAAAUUUCAUUUCUGGUCCUAUUCCUGUGGAUUUUGUUGACUGUCGUAGUUUGGAGAUAUUAGACCUUUGCACAAAUAGGUUCCAUGGGGAACUUCUGAUUCCUUUCAGCGAAAUCACCACACUAAGAAAGCUUUAUGUCUGUGAAAAUUUCAUGCAUGGUGAAGUGCCUGAAGAGAUUGGGAAUUUAACUUCACUUGAAGAGCUAGUUAUUUAUAGCAACAACUUAACUGGGAGAAUUCCCACAUCAAUCAGUAAGUUGAAGCAGCUUAAAAUCAUCAGGGCAGGUGUUAACAGCAUCUCAGGUCCAAUACCUGCGGAAAUAAGCCAGUGUGAGAGCUUGCAGAUAUUAGGAUUCUCACAGAAUCAGCUAGAAGGGUCCAUUCCAAGGGAGCUUCAAAAGCUUCAGAACCUUGCUGAGUUAAAUCUAUGGCAAAACUUUUUAUCUGGUGAGAUCCCUCCUGAGAUUGGAAAUCUUAGUAGCUUGCAAUCGCUUGCUUUGCAUCAUAAUUCAUUUGGUGGAGCUCUCCCCAAGGAGCUUGGAAAGUUAUCAAAUUUACAAAGGUUGUACAUAUACACUAACCGCUUGAAUGGCUCAAUUCCGGUGGAGCUAGGGAACUGCACAAAUGCAAUUGAGAUAGAUCUGUCUGAAAAUCGUUUAAGUGGAAAUAUUCCCAAAGAGUUGGGUCAGAUCUCUGGUCUUACAUUGCUUCAUCUAUUUGAAAACCUCCUGCAGGGAGACAUACCUCAAGAGCUUGGGAAUUUAAAGCUCUUAAAGAAUUUAGACCUCUCCAUAAAUAACUUAUCAGGUACAAUACCACUAGUGUUUCAAAAUCUUACAUACAUGGUGGAUUUGCAGUUGUUUGAUAAUCACCUUCAGGGUAAAAUUCCUCCUUAUCUUGGAUCUAAUAGCAACCUUACAGUUCUUGAUAUAUCCAUGAAUUAUCUUAUUGGUAUGAUACCUCCGCAUCUUUGCCGCAAUCAGAAAUUGCAGUUCCUCAGUCUUGGGUCAAAUAAAUUGCUUGGCAAUAUUCCUCAUGACCUGAAAAUGUGCAAGCCUCUUGUGCAGCUAAUGCUGGGAGACAACCAACUGACAGGAAGCUUCCCUCUUGAAUUAUAUGAACUUCAUAAUCUUUCUGCCCUCGAACUUCAGCAGAACCGGUUCUCAGGACUAAUAGACCAUGGGAUAGGUCGACUCAAGAAUUUAAAGAGGCUGCUCUUAUCAGAUAACUAUUUUUUAGGCUAUCUUCCUCCUGAGAUUGGGAAUUUAACACAGCUUGUCUCAUUCAACAUUUCCUCUAAUUUUCUCAGUGGAAGUAUACCUCAUGAGUUGGGAAACUGCAUAAAACUCCAGAGGCUUGAUCUGAGUAGAAACGGGUUCACUGGUGAUCUUCCAGAUGAUAUUGGCAAGCUGGUGAAUCUGGAGCUGUUGAAACUUUCAGAUAAUAGACUCUCUGGAACAAUACCGAGUGCUUUAGGGGACCUUUCACGUCUUACAGAUUUGGAACUCGGCGGUAACUUGUUUUUUGGGAGCAUUCCUUUUCAUUUAGGACAAUUAGCUGCUCUUCAGAUUGCUCUUAACCUGAGUUAUAACAAACUUUCUGGUACAAUUCCUGACAGCCUUGGGAGCUUGCAAAUGUUGGAAAGUCUUUAUUUAAAUGACAAUCAGCUUGUUGGUGAAAUUCCUACAUCAAUUGGUGACCUUCCCAGCCUCUUACUAUGCAAUGUUUCCAACAAUAAACUGGUAGGGGUCAUUCCAGACACGCCGGCAUUUCGUAAGAUGAAUUUUACAAAUUUUGCUGGAAACAAUGGGUUGUGUCGAGUAGGUUCAUAUUAUUGUCAUCCAUCUCAUACUCCAAGCUGGUCCAGAGAUGGUUCAUCAAAGCAAAAGAUAGUGAGCAUUGUUUCUGCAGUGGUGGGAUUUGUUUCUCUCAUUUUCAUAGUCUUUAUAUGUUGGGCCAUGAAACGCCGUGGCUCUUCUUUUGUCUCAAUUGAGGGGCAAUCAAAACCUCAUGUCCUAGAUAACUAUUACUUCCCUAAAGAAGGUUUCACAUACCAGGAUCUCUUGGAAGCUACUAGCAAUUUUUCUGAAGCUUUGGUUAUAGGAAGAGGAGCUUGUGGAACUGUCUACAAGGCUGUUCUGACCGAUGGUGAGGUGAUAGCUGUCAAAAAGUUGAAUUCUCGUGGAGAAGGAGCAAAUGUAGACAGAAGUUUCCUUGCAGAAAUUUCGACUCUGGGAAAGAUCAGGCACAGAAAUAUUGUGAAGCUGUUUGGAUUCUGUUGUCAUGAGGAUUCUAAUAUUCUCUUGUAUGAAUACAUGGAAAAUGGUAGCCUUGGUGAACAACUUCAUUCAGAUCCAAACACAUGUAUAUUGGGUUGGAGCAGUCGCUACAAAAUUGCUCUUGGAGCAGCAGAAGGCUUGUGCUAUCUUCAUUACGAUUGUAAACCUCAAAUUAUCCACCGCGAUAUAAAGUCAAACAAUAUAUUGCUCGAUGAGGUGUAUCAGGCUCAUGUUGGAGACUUUGGCCUGGCUAAGUUGGUCGACUUUUCCUACUCCAAAUCCAUGUCUGCUGUGGCAGGUUCAUAUGGCUACAUUGCUCCUGAAUAUGCUUACACCAUGAAGGUGACUGAGAAAUGUGACAUAUAUAGCUUCGGGGUAGUUUUGCUGGAACUAGUUACUGGCAGGUCACCUGUGCAACCUUUGGAGCAAGGUGGUGAUCUAGUUACUUGGGUGAGAAGGUCAAUUCAAGCGUCAGUACCAACAUCUGAAUUAUUUGACAGAAGAUUAAAUCUGAGUGCACAAAAAACAAUCGACGAGAUGUCUCUUGUUCUCAAAAUUGCUCUGUUUUGCACCAGUACAUCCCCACUUAAUAGGCCAACAAUGAAAGAGGUCAUUGCGAUGUUGAUUGAUGCUAGGGAGUAUGUCAACAAUUCUCCAUUGACUCCGACAUCAGAAUCCCCACUAGAUGAAGAUGCUUCGUCCAAAGGUGAUCUAGAGUUUUAACAUUUGAGCUCGCACUUGUCUUAGCCUAAUUCCAUUGAGGCUAGAAGUAAUUAUAUAUAACCAUAAAGAAGCAAAGCUUUUGCUUUAUCUUCAACCAGAUGUCCCACCACUGUAAGUUCUUUUAUAAGAUAUUUCUGGGAACACUUUCUUUCCCAACAUCAAUAAACUUGAAUCUGUCAUGAUUUGUAAGUUUUUUAUGUCUUAAUUCAAUACAGCAAAAUGUGAUUGUAAGUUCGCUGUACAAUGCCUGCUGGUUUUCUGCAGCAUUAGGCACACAUUGCAGUAAAAUUCUAUUUUGUGCAUGUUUGGGAU